rnacentral:rRNA from 1 species
UACGUAGGGGGCUAGCGUUGUCCGGAAUCAUUGGGCGUAAAGCGCGUGUAGGCGGCCAGGUAGGUCUGGUGUGAAAACUCGAGGCUUAACCUCGAGAUGUCAUCGGAAACCAUUUGGCUAGAGUCCGGAAGAGGAGAGUGGAAUUCCUGGUGUAGCGGUGAAAUGCGCAGAUAUCAGGAAGAACACCAAUGGCGAAAGCAGCUCUCUGGGACGGUACUGACGCUGAGACGCGAAAGCGUGGGGAGCGAACAGG